rnacentral:lncRNA from 1 species
ACGUGCUUGAUCCAUGCAGGGUGGAAAAUCCCCAGUCCUGACGAUCCAUGACUGAUGCAAGGCUUGGGCAGCUCAUAGCAGUGGUAAUGUUGCACCAUCCCCAGCAGAGUCAUGAUCUCAGCCUUUCACUGCCAGCCCUUGUGUGCUGUCUGCCACCUCUUUGCAGGGACCACUGUCAAAGACAUGACAGUCCCUGCAUCCCUGACUCUCCUUACAUGCUUGACACCCACAGAGACCAUGGCACUGCUGCCCAACACCAGCUCAAGCACUGCAGCCACCCUCCCUCCCUCCAGUCCUGCAACCUCCACCUCAGAGAUGCCAAUGGAUGCCUUCACACCCAGUGCUGCUGCACCUCAGGGGAGCAGCCUGGAAGCCUCCAGCAUCACCACAGCACAGGAGAGGGGCAGCACAGCCCACAGCACUACUGGAUCACCUGGGCUGGGGCUCACCACUGGCACACCAACAGGGGUGGGGCUCACCACUGGCACCCCAACUUCAACCUCCAUGGCCAUAACACCCAACUGUCCCAAGGCAACCAAUGUCACCUCUGUGGGGACCAGCACAGCCCUGGCUUUCAGCUCAUUUGGAGCUGAAAUGAGCACGCUGCCUCCCCCCACCUCUACUCUUCUCUCCUCCACCUGGGUGGGCACCACACUUGGCACCAGCACCCACCAAGGGUCAGCCAUGACCACGCUGCUUGGCAGCACAUCCCCAGGGAGUGCCAGCACCUCUUCUCCCACCACACCAGCACUGACAGACACUUCAAACAAGCCCUUGACAACCCCAUCAGACACCACAGCCUCCCUCAUUACUAGCACAGUGGCCGCCAAGAGCACCCCUGCCCCCAGCCAGCCAGUCGGGACCACGGCCAGGACCACCCUUGGUACCUCCACCCUGACAGCACCUGAGACUACCAGUGCCACUGCAGGUGAGUGCAGCCAUGGGGCACCUGGGGGACAGGAUCAGGGUGGCAAAUCCCCAUGGGAUCUCCCAUCCUGCUCAGCCAGGCCCCUGGCUCCUUCCCCACAGCCCAGCCCAUGGCCUGGCUCCAGCCCUGUGGGGGCUACUUGGUCUCUAGGCUCUUCAGGCCAGUGGAUGGUCCUAUGCUGGACUGUGACUGUGCCUUGGUGGGACUGUGCCUAGCAGUGUGACUGUACCAUGGUCUGACAGUUCCUGGUGGUGUGGCUGUACCUCAAUGGUGUGGCUGUACUGCAGCAGUGUGGCUGUACUGUGGCUGUGCCGUGGCUGUGUGGCUGUGCCCCUGGCAGUGAGCCUGCACCUUGUCAGUGAGACUGUAUGUACCCUGUACCUCAAGGAAUGGGCCUGUACCCCAGCAGUCCCCUUACCAUGGGACUUCAAAUGUGCCCUGGUGACACCCCACUCCAUGCACAUCAACCAG